GAGGGGAAAUUCGGCUAUGAGACUUUCUCUUCUCAUUUUGGUUCAAUUUUUUGGUCAUUUUCUUUUGGUUGGUUGCUCUAAAUUCUUAAGUACUGACAAUAGUUUUCUGAUCUCCGUUUUUGGUUGUUGAAGUUUUAUCGAAUUGACCGUUUGGGGAAAGCUGGUAAGUAUUGGCGAAUUCACUUUUUUUAAUAUUUACCGAAUCGUCUUUC
rnacentral:lncRNA from 1 species